rnacentral:tRNA from 1 species
GCCUUCGUGGUGUAACGGUUAGCACACUCGGCGCCUACUCGAGAGGUCCAGGUUCGAAUCCCGACGAGGUCA